rnacentral:tRNA from 2 species
GCGGAUAUGGCGGAAUUGGCAGACGCGCAUGGUUCAGGUCCAUGUGAGAGCAAUCUCAUGGAGGUUCAAGUCCUCUUAUCCGCACCA